rnacentral:tRNA from 1 species
GGUCUUAUAUUCAUAUAUGAUUUUAGAAUGCAAUUCUAAAGGAGCAGUAAGUUUGCUAAGGCUU